rnacentral:rRNA from 1 species
CCCGAAGUAUCCUGAAUCUUUCGCAUUGUUAAUCAUACAAGUGCCUAUAAUAAAUAUAAAUAUCAUAGAUAUAAAUAUCAUUAUAUAAUUUCGAAAAAUUAACACACUGUAUUUCAUAUCAAUCUAUCAGCACUUUAUCAAAUUUAAUGACAUUUAUUCUAUGUUAUCAAUGGGCAAGCCAUAAUAAUUUGAAUAAACUAUAAGCCAUAUUUUAUGAUAAAUUUUUGUAUAUGCUAAUAGAUUACAAUGUCCUUAUAUGGGAAAAAUGCACACUAUUAUUAAUAAUAUUUAUUAAAUAUUAUAAUUAUAAUGAUGAAUUUCCCAUAAUGGAUAUUCAGGUUCAUCGGGC